GUAGGUGGCAAGCGUUGUCCGGAAUUAUUGGGCGUAAAGCGCGCGCAGGCGGUUCUUUAAGUCUGAUGUGAAAGCCCACGGCUCAACCGUGGAGGGUCAUUGGAAACUGGAGAACUUGAGUACAGAAGAGGAAAGCGGAAUUCCACGUGUAGCGGUGAAAUGCGUAGAGAUGUGGAGGAACACCAGUGGCGAAGGCGGCUUUCUGGUCUGUAACUGACGCUGAGGCGCGAAAGCGUGGGGAGCAAACAGGGAUUAGAUACCCUGGUAGUCCACGCCGUAAACGAUGAGUGCUAAGUGUUAGGGGGGUUUCCGCCCCCCUUAGUGCUGCAGCUAACGCAUUAAGCACUCCGCCUGGGAUACGGCCGCAAGGCUG
rnacentral:rRNA from 1 species